rnacentral:rRNA from 1 species
CUAAAAAUCUAGCCUAAUACCAACUAAAAACCUUUCCUCUAAACUAAAAUAUUCUUAAUUACAAGUAAAGACGAUUGAAAAUUAAAUUUGAGCUGCAAUCCCGUACCGCAAGGGAAAGAAUGAAAUAUAAUAAAACAACUAAAGCACAAAAAAGUAGAGACUUCCCUCGUACCUUUUGCAUCAUGGUUUAACUAGUCUGCCUUAGCAAAAAGACCUUAAAGCUAAACUUCCCGAAACUAAGUGAGCUAUUUAAAGACAGCUCAUUGAGCAAACUCAUCUCUGUUGCAAAAGAGUGAAGAGAUCCUUAAAUAGAGGCGACACACCUAACGAACUUAGUAUUAGCUGGUUACUCAAGAAAAGAAUUUUAGUUCCUCUGAAAGUCCCCCCUUAAUUUAAAUAAAYCCAAGACUUUUAUGUUACCCAAGUAAGGUACAGCUUACUUGGGACAGGGUACAACCUCCACCACCGGGUAAGCCAUUCUACACAACGUAAAUUUGUAGGCCUAAAAGCAGCCAUCCACUACAGCGUCAAAGCUUAUUUACAUCCCAAACUAAUAACUUGAUUUUUCCCGAGCCCCUCCACAGUAUUGAGUAAUUCUAUGCCUACCCAUAGAAUCUUCUAUGUUAAAACUAGUAACAAGAAGCUAGCCUUCUCUAAAAUGCCCGCAUAACCCAGGCCUGAACUCAGCACUGGCUAUUAACAGCCUUCAACUAAAGAAGAAACUUUCCAAGCAAAAUCUUCUAAAUAAUCUGUUAACCUAACACAAGCGCAUUUCAAGAAAGAUUAAAAGAAAAUGAAGGAACUCGGCAAACUACCACCCCGCCUGUUUACCAAAAACAUCGCCUCUUGAAGUAUAUAAGAGGUCCAGCCUGCCCAGUGACUUGUUUAACGGCCGCGGUAUCCUAACCGUGCAAAGGUAGCGUAAUCACUUGUUUUUUAAAUAAAGACUAGUAUGAAAGGCAUCACGAGGAUAAAGCUGUCUCCUUUUUUUGAUCAGUGAAACUAAUCUUCCCGUGAAGAAGCGGGAAUACUCUAAUAAGACGAAAAGACCCUAUGGAGCUUUAAACCUUACAGCACCUGUCAAUCCACUCUCCUCACCUCAGACAUCUUUGUCUGUAAGUUUUCGGUUGGGGCGACCACGGAGCAAAAUAAACCCUCCAAGUUGAUUACAUCUUUAAGCCCAGGGCCACAGCCCCAAGCAUUAAUAAAUUAACAUCAAUUGACCCAGUAUUCUGACCAACGAACCAAGUUACCCUAGGGAUAACAGCGCAAUCUACUUCGAGAGUCCUUAUCGACAAGUGGGUUUACGACCUCGAUGUUGGAUCAGGGUUUCCUAGUGGUGUAGCCGCUACUUUAGGUUCGUUUGUUCAACGAUUAAAAUCCUACGUGAUCUGAGUUCAG